rfam:Ictidomys tridecemlineatus contig037351, whole genome shotgun sequence.
GGGGAUGUAGCUCAGUUGUAGAGUGCUUGUCUAGCAUGCAUGAAGCCCUGGGUUUCAGUCCUCAGCAUCACAA